rnacentral:rRNA from 1 species
UACAGGGGGUGCAAGCGUUAUUCGGAAUUACUGGGCGUAAAGCGCAUGUAGGCGGCUAGGUAAGUCUGGUGUGAAAUCCCGAAGCUUAACUUCGGAAGUGCAUUGGAUACUGCCUGGCUAGAGGAUGGGAGAGGAGAGCGGAAUUCCUGGUGUAGGGGUGAAAUCCGUAGAUAUCAGGAGGAACACCGGUGGCGAAGGCGGCUCUCUGGACCAUUUCUGACGCUGAGAUGCGAAAGCGUGGGUAGCAAACAGG